rnacentral:ncRNA from 1 species
GAGACGAGGAAGGGCGUAGCAAGCGAUGAAAUGCUUCGGGGAGUUGAAAAUAAGCAUAGAUCCAGAGAUUUCCAAAUAGGUUAACCUUUUAAACUGCCUGCGAAAUCCAUGAGCAGGCAAGAGACAACCUGGCAAACUGAAACAUCUUAGUAGCCAGAGGAAAAGAAAGCAAAAGCGAUUCCUGUAGUAGCGCCGAUCGGUAUUCUAUAUCAGCGGACCCAACCCUCC